UCUGGCUGCAGUUUGGGACCCGCGGGGAUAAGAAGCUUUGUGUUUCUGCUGCAGCGUGCUGGCAAUCUUGCCAUGUCUCUCAUCUAAGCCUUCAGCAUCACCCAGAUGUGGCAGGACUCAGCCUCCUGGAGAGCAGAAGAGCAUCAGAGAAGGCCAUGCCCCAUGAGAAGGACACCACUGCAUGACCCUCUGGGUCCCCAAUGGGUAGAGAAGAGCCUGACUGCAGUAGGAACCACCUGCUCAGCAUCAUCUGAAGAAGGUGUUUUCCUUCCUCCAGCCCCCACAGCCUUACUGGGUUAAAGGAAGGGCCCUGGGCAGAGCAAGGAGCACUCACAAUAUAGGAGAUCAGCCUGAGCAUCCUCGCACUGUGGGGUUCAACCUACCAGAAUCAUGCCAGUGGGCACCAGCCCUAUUUAUUUCCAUGCUCAUCAGCAAAAGCAGCACAUUUUCAGGUCGCAUCUCUCUUCCUUCUCAGCACCAGAGCUUUUGCCUGACAUCCAAAGGGAAAAGAAUAACGGGGCCAUCAGCAGUGAGCAAAACGCAUCUCAUAACCUCCACUUCUUUUCAACGAGCUCCAGUUGUUGCUUUACAAGUGUACUCCAACCCCGGCAAGUGCCAAACAAAAGCUCCCCUCUCCUCCUCUG